rnacentral:lncRNA from 1 species
GAAAUUGAGUAGAAAAAUAAAUUCUACAAAUUUUCAACCUUAUUCAAUUUAAUAAAAAAUCUGAUCGACGAACUUCCCUAGAGCACCAGCGACGGAAUUCUUCACCAGAAAAUGCUAAAACCAGCGAUCAGAAUCAGUUGCAGCAGUCCACCAUCGCUGUCGUUGCUCCAGCGAUGAAGGUCAGUUGUUCAUGAAAGGAGGAAGAAGAAAGAGGAAUGAGGUUUGUGGAGCGGAGGUUAGUUGUUGUUCAUGGGAGGAGGAAGAAGAAAGAGGAGGAACGGACAGGGGUGGGGGUGAGGGGGCCUGUUUGAAGAAGAAGAAGAAGGAGGAGAAAUCGUGGGAUCGGGUUGGGG